GGUGACAAUAGCGAAGAGGUCCCACCCGUUCCCAUUCCGAACACGGUAGUUAAGCUCUUCAGCGCUGAUGAUACUUGGCGGGCGACCGCCCGGGAAAGUAGGUCGUUGCC
rnacentral:rRNA from 1 species